GAAACCUGCAGUCAUGUGGGUAAACACUGUGAACAUGUGACUAAGUUAGUCACGUGAUCGGGGCACUGGAGGUAUACUCACUAAAUGAGAGACAGCCUGUGAUAGUAUAGUAGAUCUUCCCCCAAGCAGCUGCAGUCACUGUGCCGACAGGAGGAGGGGCCAGGAGCAGUGAGGAAGGCAGAGGGUAGAGUGUGAAUACCGCUGAAGGCGUCCAAUUAAAAGUAUAGACAUCUGUCUACAUAACCUGAAGAUACAAAUUUGACAACAGAAAACAGAAGUUAACAGAAGUCAUUGACUCAAUCUCAGACCAGAGCAGAAGACGCUGGGAG